UCGGAUCCAGCCCACCUCUGCUUCUUCUGCAGCACGAAGAAGAAAAUAUCACUCUAUGGGUCCCAGCCCACUUCCAGUUCUUCUCAAACCGCAGCAGGCAACGACCGUUUGUGCCUCCCAAUCUCCAAAAAAAAUCGACCAAUUCCUCCCACCGGAAACUGCCGGAAGCCUACCGAUCUCACAGGUACUGGACUGAUGCGUGCUUCUCCACCUUCCUUGGUGCUCGGCUGGGUGUCGCGAUGCUCUUUUGCUUCUCUGAAAAUUGCUUUUGUCUGGCUCCUGUCUAAUUUCUCCACUGGCAUGUGGCAUGAUGGAGUUUCCGUCUGUUCAGCUCAGGAGCCUGGCGGAGGCUAUCUCUUCGACCCUAUAUCAGCUAGCCCUAAUAGAGGAAUCAAAAUUUUAUACUAUUUGAAUUAAACUUUAUAUAAUACUUAUUUAUCUCAUGUGAAUUUUUAGCAAUUGGGUGUUUUCACGAUGCUCGAAGCUUAAGAAACAAAAUGCCCUAUUCGUGGUGCAGAGCCAUUAUUUGGGGCAGCUAACCUAAAUGACGUGUUAAAAAACCUAAUCAUCCUUGCCACGCCAUCUAAUUUCUCUUGCUACUAAGGUUAGGAUCCCAAGGGAUAUUAUAGAUCUUGGGUUUUGAAUAUAUGCUCAUUUUCUUCUAUCUGACUAUGCAGAGAAAGGAAGAAUGAAGAAUUUCCAUGUUUCUAUGCUAACACAUCUUUGGAGGUGUGUGCCUACGCCUCAUAGCUGGUCUGAAGCAAAAUAAAUUAUUUACCUUAGCUAUUCUACACAUGCAAAGUGUGUAAAAUAUGUAGUGAUCCAUACAUAAAAAAAUGGUUCCAUUCAGAUUGCCAUAGAUGCCUUCAUUUCGUCAUGAGGUUAGGGAGGAAAAAAGCAAUAGAAAUGCAAUGGAGGUGGCUUCCUUACCACAGCCUCAUCUCUUGAUUUCUUUUCUGAUUCGUGCAAUACAAUUUUUUUUGUUUGACCUUCUA